rnacentral:sRNA from 1 species
UUAAGUUAAAAAAAAAUAGAUUAAAGAAUAUUAAUAAAAAUUAAUUCUCUUUUUAAAACUAAAAAUUAUUUUAAUAUAUAUCAAAUAUACAAUUUCGUACUAAAAAUAAAAAUGAUUGUUUCAUUAAUUAUAAGAAUAUUAUGUACAUAUUUUCAGGACAGAUGUAAUUAUAUCGAACUUUGAUUUAUUAAAAGAUAAAUAUAAUUAUGUUUUGUAUAUGUUAUAUAUGAAAUAUUAUAAAUAAAAUAAAUAUAAAAUAACACAUGAAAAUGACUGAAACUUCUACUAUACAGUAUUUUUAUCUUGCCAUAGUUUAUAUGCAAUAUAUUCUCUGAUGUUUGCCAUUACAUCUUCAUCUUCUACCUCUGCUGCUUCCAUUUCAUCUUGAUUCGUUGCAUUGUCUGUGUAGCUAUUCUUAGUGUGUCCCAUUCUUUUAGUGAAAUCUUCAUCUGGAAAAUUUGAAAUUCUAAUAAAAUUUUGUAGUCCCAUUGUAGCAAUUACCACUAUUUUUGCACUUCAAUAAUAUAUCUAGGGAACUUAGAAAGAAUCCUCCACUUUUUCUUCCAAACACCAAAUGUCCUCUCAAUAACAGACCGCAAAGAAGCAUGCCAUCUAUUAAACAAUUCAUGUUUAUUCCUCGGAGGAUGAUUAGUGUUAAAUUGUGACAUAUGAUAACUUACUAUCCUGUUUCGUAAAGAUCUGUACAGGGUCAAAAAUCCUUUUAUAUAUGGAUAUCCAGAAUCUACAACAUAGUACUUGUCUGCCGGAGGCAUUGGAAAUUCAGGAUCAUUUUUUUUGUGCCAUCACAAGAACUGUUGUAUCAUGACAUGAUCCAGGUGCUCCAUUCCAAACAUAUGUGAAUAACAUAUUUAGAUCACAUAUUGCCAUGAUGUUAAAAGAUGUUAUAUCAUGUUGAUUCCAAUACAUUCCUUGCAAUGCGGGUUUCACAUUAACGCAUGCAUGAAUCCCAUCCGUAGCUCCAACAAAUCCAGUAAAAUAUCGCCCAUAUCAGUCAUCCAACUACAGCCGUUCAGGAAUCCUAUGUCAUUCUUGUGUUGUUGGAGUUUUGAUAUAAUCACAAGCAAGUAAUUCAGUAGCUGUCAGAACUUCAAAAAACUUUCUCUUCACUGUUUCUUGAUUUCGUCCAAACCGUAAUCCAACAUCUCGUUGAACUUCAUUGUGCCUACAUAUCCGGAGAAAUAUAGCAACACUCUCUUUGAUGCUUACAUUCAAUGGUUAUUGUAAUCCAUAAUUGGUUUGUAGAAUAUGACACAAUGUUGUGAACGCAUCAAGUGACAUCCGUAGCAACUGUAGACAAGCAGCAUUAUCUUCAUUUAGUCGAGACCAAAUGUUUCUCCAUCCUAGACCGCAAUUUGUUUGAACAGGUCCUCUUUGAAAAUAUCGUUCAUAGUAAUUCAAUGAUGGUUGAAUUAGCAACUCCUCAAAUUGCUCAUUUUUCAAAUUCCACAACUCGAGUCUCUAUUCAUAACUUAGAGUGUGUGAACUUUGUGAUCUUAAUUAACAGAUACGAAAAGCCUGUAAUUCAAUAUACAAGAAAUAAAAGAAAUAUUAGAUCAAUAAUAAACACCAUUCAUUAAAAAUUUAUUAAACAUACAACAUUAUAUAAAACAUAUAGUGGUUUGUUAAUUAAACAAAAACAUAAGCUUUAACACUAAUCUUCAUCUUCUAAACCACUUUGUUGACUUUCAUUUCAAUCUAGUCUUUGGUUCCCCAAAUGUUGAAUAAUCCUCCGGCUCUAUGUGAUUGUGGUUGGAAUUCUCUAAAUCCAGUCAUUGUAUCUGUCAAUGUUGUCUCAAAGGCUUGUUUUCUACGGGCACCUCAGGAACUACUUGCGAUAGCAACUCUUGAGCUUCCUGCCUCUUUUUGUAUUACUUGCACAGCUUACAUUCCCCCGUUGUUGAGUUAUGGAAGAAGGAAUUCGGGUCGCAUCCCGGGUGGAUUCGGUUGAAAGACGUGAUUCAUCUUCAAUGUUAACACGAUACACCUCUUCAUUUUCUUGUGUUUCGGGAACUUGAGUUUGUUCCCUAUCACUUCCAUCUAUGUCUGAAUUCACAUGCUCUUCUUCAUUAUCUACACCCUCGUUCAUCAUCUCUACUCUUCUUUGGUUUACAGAAUAUUGAGGUUGUAAAUGAAGAUCAUAUAAUGAGAAACAACGUUCCAUCACUUCCCAAAAUUAUGGUGGUUUUCGAUGAAGUGAUUUUAUUAUUCUACACCCUUGUUAAAAAAAUUAUAAAUUUUUUAUACAUCUAUAUUAGUUAAACAAAUAUUUUUGGUUAUGAGAUAAAUUAUAAUUAAUUACCGUUUCAUUGUCUUUCCACCAUUGUUCAGAUGCAGAUAACAUGGAUGUCGUCGGAUCAACUGAAAUGCCGGUGGACGUUUUCAUAAGAGCUUUCCACUUCUUAUACUUCUUUUUGAAAUUAUCAUGUUUUUCUUGCUAACAUUCAUCUUGAAUUCUUUAUUGAACUUUCGAGUGAUAAACUCUUUACCAUAAGGCGUCGGAUCUUUAAGACAGUAAUUAUUCAUGGCUAGUGCUUCGUCAUACAAUUCAAUGAGUCUUCUUUUUCGUUGAUAAGUCCAUUUAAAAUUAGCUUCACUUUACGAAUUUAAAAACAUAUAUUUAUAAUUUUAAUAAAAAAAUAUGAAUACAUUAUAAAUUUAAAUUAAUUACAAUAAUAAAAAAAUUACAUGUGAUGUUGUUUGAUUAUGAGCACUUGUGUUGCUUUUCUCAAGAGAAUUUGUGUUUCCUCGACGAUUUAAUGUCAUUUCUACAAUCAACUGGUUAAAAAAAGUUAGCAUAUUAAUUUUUAUUAUUUAAAAUUUUUAUAAUAACUUGUAACAUAAUAAAAUAGCAUAAUCCUUACAAACCAAUAUAUUUAAUUAAACUAAUUUACUUAUAAAAUUGUGUGGUUUAUAAAAUUUAUCUAAAAUAUUGUAGUUAAUUAAAUUAGUUCAUAUAGAAUAAUUUGUUUUUUAAUUUAACACAUUAGUAUUACAAAUGAAAAUAGUUUUUAAAUUUAAACUGUUUUAUAACUAAAUUAAUAAAAAGGUGUUGUGCAUUUAAUUUAUUGGUUAUUUAAUAUCCCAUUUAAUAUUUUAAACAUAU